GGAAAAGCCGCUGCUGUCAGUCAGUGCAGCAAUGGAAGGAAAGGGAAUUUCGUGCUUCCAGCCCGGCACACCCCACGGCUUUGACUCGGCCCUUCGCUGCCAAAACAGCUCCUUCCAGACGUAAACGACUCAUUUUAAGGCUGCAAGUUGAGUGAAACUCUCGUGGGGAGAGCUACAUGGGAGCCCCAUUUGGAAUAGGCUGUUCCCAAGGCCCCAGGAUCUGGCAUCCCCCUGUCACCUGGCUGUUACUGGGGAGGGGGCUCAGCACGUGGCUCUGUCAGCAGAGCAGGAAUGUGCCGGGUCACUCCCCUGGGAAAUGCCCCUCAGACAACUAGUUACAUAAAUGCAAUAAAGCUGGGGGCAUCAUGAACACAGACAGGAAGAGAAAGCAAAGAGCUGCUGUGACUGAAAGCACACCAAAGUGCAGAAGGAAGGACUGAGCAAUUGGAACCAAGAUUUCCACUGCCUGCUCGAUGACUCACCCACACAAAGGUGCCGGGCACAGGUCCCGUCCACAUGAGAAACUUCACCAGACUCAGGCAGGAUUUCAGUACAAAGGGAUUUCUGUUUGCUUUUGGGGUUCUGGACUUCUCUGCAGUUGGAGAAAAACCAUUUCAUGCCCCAGCCCUAAUGCUGGUAUCCCACAGGGACAGAGGAACAGAGCAGGUGAGGAGGACUGUGAGGGCAUGGUCCCAUCUGUAUUUGUUAGCAUUCUCACCUGUAGAUCAUCACCUCUACAAUACAUACAAAAAAAAUAAACAA